rnacentral:lncRNA from 1 species
UGUCUUCUCUUGUUUACUAUAUUUGGUGUUAAUAAUCAUGAUGAGUCAAGAUCAUGUUGGUAGUGACCAGACGCAAAUCAUAAAGGGUAAGCGUACGAAGCGACAGAGAUCAUCUUCGUCGACCUUUUUGGUGGCGGCCGCAGCGGCUACCACCAACACCUCUUCAAGCUCAUCAGCCGGGGAUGGCGGCGGAGGGAGAGCAGUUUCCGAUGAAUACAACUCGGCGGUUUCGUCUCCAGUGACCACAACUGAUUGUACUGAAGAAGAGGAAGACAUGGCGAUUUGUCUCAUCAUGCUUGCGCGCGGAGCGGCUCUUUCACCAGAUCUCAAGAAUUCGAGAAAAGCUGAUAAAACUCUUUCGUCGGCAGAGAAUUCGAGUUUCUUUGUCUACGAGUGUAAAACAUGUAGCCGGACGUUCUCGUCGUUCCAAGCUCUCGGUGGACACAGGGCGAGCCACAAGAAACCUAGAGUGUCGAUAGAGGCAAAGACUAAACUACCCCUGAUGCAGGCCAAGUCUAGUGGGUCAGAGGAAGGGCAAAAAUAUAAUUUCAAAGUGUUUGGUUCAUCCCUAGCUUCGCUGUCAAGUAACAUCAUCAUCAGCAAGGCAAACAAAGUACACGAGUGUUCGAUCUGCGGUUCAGAGUUCACUUCGGGACAAGCCCUCGGCGGCCACAUGAGGCGGCACAGGACAGCCACCACUGCGGUAAUACCGGUCGCUACCACAGAAGUUAGCAGAAACAGUACAGAAGAGGAGACUGAGAAUUUGAGCUCUUACAUUGAGCAGAGGAAAUAUUUACCGCUGGAUCUUAAUCUACCGGCACCAGAAGAUGAUCUAAGAGAGUCCAAGUUUCAAGGGAUUGUGUUCUCAACCACACCAGCGUUAAUAGAUUGUCAUUACUAGUUGUUUGUAGUUGAAUGUUUAGUUACAUGAUAAUAUAUUUGUGAAUUCUUCUUCUAUUACUAUAUUGUUGAACUGGAAUUAUUUCCAAAAAUUGAAUCAAAGUAUCAGUUGAUUUUUUUUAAUAGGAGGAAAAUGAAAUGUGCAAGUUAUAAUGAAAAAGAAGGAAUAAUAGUAGGAGUUAAGUAAAGGGUUGUGUGAUAGUUAGAUGAUCUACUUGUUGAAGUAAGAAUAGUUUGAGUAAGCAAGUGGUUUGUGUUCAUGGUUGCCUUUCAUUCACGAAAAGAAAGUGACUUCCAAGGCAUCUUUUCUUUCCCUCUUUUUAAGGUAUAUGUUAUUAUUCUUUUAAACAAAAAUACAAAUUAUGAGUUUUUUGUAACAUGUGAACCAAGCAUUGUAUUGCUUGUAGACGCCUCUUUCCCCCCACGAUUACGCAGCCAACGCUAUAUUGUGUUCUACUACUUCAAACAAAAUAUGUUAUGGCAUAAAAAUUUAUAGAAAAUCUAGAGAAAUAGAGGCAUAUAUAAAACAUUAUAAAAUACAUAUAAAGAACUUUGAAUGUUUUAUUUGAAAAUAAUAUUUAAUAAAUCUUAUUUUCAUUUGAUAUUUGAGUUUUAGGUACCAGAGUAUAAAAGAAGCACUUUAAAACAUACCAACUAUUUUUUUUUUUUUUGUAAAUAGUGAUGUCUCUUAUGACAUUAUGUAUAAGAAGCCCAACGCUAUAUUCCAUCUUUCCCAUUUCAUAAUUUUAUGGUAUAAAUAUAUUCAUAUGCUAAAUAGCAUUUGAAAUCAUAUUCUUAUGUUAGUCACCUAAUAUACAAAAGUAUUAUUCACCUAAUAUAAUCUGACAAAGUACAAAAUAAUCCUCAUUUUCGAGAUUCCAAAAUUAGUUUGAGAUUUUUCUCAAAAAAGAAAAAAGUUUGAAAAUCAAGUUAUGAUUAACUCAGUCACAAUAUUUAAAAGGGUAAUUAUUUAGUAAUGAAUAAAAAUAAUAAUGUCUCAUUUUGAAUUUGUGCUAUGAUGAACAAUACUAUUUUCCAGCUCCUUUUCAUAACAAGCAAUUUGUAAAUAAGCAUACAUAUAUAAUCCAUUUAUAUAAGUUGGUUAAAUAAUCAGGAAAAUGUUAUAUAUACACACAAUGAAUUUAAGAAACAGAAAGGUAGUGUGGACUGUGGACACGAGAUGGACGUGGUGACCGGCUUAGGUCGUGUAUUAGGUUCCCGGCCCUUUGGUUUUGGGUUGUUGGUCAUCACAUUUACAAUUUAUCAUAUAUGAAUCAUUUUAGUCAAUUAUAACGGACUAACAAUUAUUAUAACAUAACAGAAAGUAGAAAAGAAAAGAAAAACUAAUAAUUAGAAGUAAAAAAGAAAAUAAACAGUGACAGCAGAAACAGUCACAAGAUUCACUCACCGCUUCACUCCUUGCUUCCAAUGCUCCUCUAAUAAAUCUAUUAUUGCAGUUGCAUUUACGAUUCAACGUUAUUAUUGAAAUAGAAUGUAUUAACAUAUUCUUGUUCUCGCACGAUGUUAUUUUGUCGAUUAAACUAUCUUUCUACAAAUUUAUUUUACAGAUUAGUGAAAAACUUGUAGAGCUCCAAGCCUACAAUGUAUAGAAUAAAAUCUGAAUGUAGUUUCCUUCGCUUUCAUUCUCAAAAUCAGCAAGUGAAAGUCAUAUGUACAUAACUCUAUAAGCAAUAAAAAGAUGACCAAUAUACUAAGCCAAAAGAGACUAGAACAGUAAGUUUUUUUUUUUACAGUAGACUGAUAUAUUUGUUUUACCGAUCCAGGAGUCCUAUACAUCAAUAGUUCUUAAAGUGUACGAGUCAAGAACUUUUGUUAACCACGUUUGGUAAAACAUAUACUAAACAAGGGUAAUAAAAUUGAAACAUAUACCAAACAUGUAUUAGAGUUAUGUAUUGUUAGAAAUAGACUACAUCCAUCGACAAGCCCGCAACAAGGCCCAAAAAUGUAAUUGAACUCGGUAUAGUUAAGAAGAGAGGCGGUCGAGACGAUUCAAGUCGGCUUAAGAGAAAAAGAAAGAAAUCGGCGAGUUCAGCUAUAAAUGGGUGGAACUCGCAAAGAGAAGACAUUCACAAAAGCAUAAAGGCCGGCAUGAGAAUGAAGGUUUUCGUGGUUGCACCUUCUUCUUGAAGAAUUCAUAAUUCUCUUACAAUUUCAUUAUCAUUUUCUUUCAUUAUCUUUUUCCUUGUAAUUGAUAUUUGAUCUCUAAAAAAAAAAUCUUUCAUAUAAUCCACUAUAAAGUUAAUUGGCUUAAUAAACACAAAAGAAGAAAAAAAUAAUAAAAUAACUAUAUAAUAAAGUGGCUGGUCAAGUGACAAUUUUGCUAAAAGUGGAUCAUUUACUCCUUUUCCAUGGGUGACAGUGCAACAAACAUGAUGUGUACAUAACAAUUGAUUUAUUGUUACAUUAUAACGAAAAAUAUAACAAAUAUUUUCUUAUUUUUCUAUUCUAUAGGUCUCUAAUAGAAUAUAACAUGAAAAUUGUAAUAGUAAUUUCUUUUUUUGAUUAUUUUUAGUCACUAUCAGUGGAAAAAAAAUGUAUAUAUGAAAACAGUAAAAGAAGAAAAAUGAAACCACCACAAAAAAAUAAAUGGAUGAGAAAAAACAGGUAGUGGGAUAAGGUGGGAAGACGAUGGGUGACCAUAGUGAGGGAGUAGAAGACGGCGACGAAAGAGAAGGAGGAAGGGAAGGAAAGAGAGAAGGAGGAGAAAGAUGAUGAGAAGAAGAAAGAAGAGGACGGAGAAGGAAAGUAAAAAAAGAAAAAAAAAGAGGAGGAAAAAAGGAUGAAGAAGAAGAAAAUUGUUGAGAAUGAGAAAGGGUAAGAAGAGAAAAAGAAGAAUGAAAAUGAGAAUGUGUUUGAUUCUAAUUUAUAUUAUGUAGUGUAAAAUGUAUUGUAUAUAGUUUGAUGUUCACUUCCUCUUUACAAUGUGGUUGACAUAUAUUAUGUAAGAGAUACACUUGUUGUCGUCGAAAAUGACAUAAUUAACAAGACCUCAUAUACUAAAGCGCUAUCUAAACACAAACACCUUUUCAUUGUCAUAUUCACAUCCUCUUGAAGCACUCUAUUCUAUGUUCUGAAAAUAUAAUAGUAUAUACUGUUCAUCUUCUCCAGUUUUGAAUUCCGUCUUCACUGUUGCUUGUUGAAUCAUCAAAUCUCUAACCACUAGCAUGCUCGCGUGAUUCACCUCAAGCUCUAGAUCCAUUAAUGCUGACAUCAGCCUUACCGUUGGGCGUUGGACUUGCUUGAUUAUCCUCUAAUCUUUGUAUCCCAACCAAUAAUCUUCACUGCGAUCUUUAUCUCCACUGGUCUGAUCACCAUUAUCGAGAAUGAUAACGAUAGCUUUCUACCAGUGCUCACUUUUAUUAUGGUAUUCCGGCAACCUCUGUAUUUCUAAAGAGUAUUUUGAUAUGCUAUUUUUGCCUGUUUUUUCAGAUUUUUUUUCUUUCUAUCAGUCUGAAUAGGAUAAAAAAGUUAUAAAAUUUCUUACAAAUGACACAAGGGAUAGCUAGAUCCGAACCACCAUUUAAAUUGCAUGGGCUGAAACCUAAGAUCAAACUGGCCAAAUUAAUGGAGUCCACAAAAAACAUAGUUAUAUUGAUAAACUUACCUUUUUAAAUUACCUAAAAGUAUUGUAUUCUUUUUUUUAAUGAAAAGUAUUGUAUUUUUAGUAGGGUUUAUGAACAAUUACGUAAACAACAUUUCACUAUAAUAAAUUGAUCUAAUAUCCAUUACUGGAACAUAAAAAAUGAAAAACCAGAAAAUCAGUGUAAACUUUUUGAAAACAAAUUUGUAAUAUAUUCGGAAAUGGAAUCAAAGCAGCAAAAUUGGAAAAGCUGCCAAGUCAGGAAAAUUAACAAUUACGUAAAAUAUAGAUUUCGCUAUAAUAGUGAUAAUUCCAUUAACAGAAACGUAAAAAAUGAAAAACCAGAAACCAGAAUAAGGUCUUAGAAUUUUUUUUUGUUCGUCGACCUUUUUGGUGGCGGCCGCAGCGGCUACCACCAACACCUCUUCAAGCUCAUCAGCCGGGGAUGGCGGCGGAGGGAGAGCAGUUUCCGAUGAAUACAACUCGGCGGUUUCGUCUCCAGUGACCACAACUGAUUGUACUGAAGAAGAGGAAGACAUGGCGAUUUGUCUCAUCAUGCUUGC